CAGCCGCCACGGGAAUACAGAGGGUGCGAGCGUUAAUCGGAUUUACUGGGCGUAAAGCGUGCGUAGGCGGCUUCUUAAGUCGGAUGUGAAAUCCCUGAGCUUAACUUAGGAAUUGCAUUCGAUACUGGGAAGCUAGAGUAUGGGAGAGGAUGGUAGAAUUCCAGGUGUAGCGGUGAAAUGCGUAGAGAUCUGGAGGAAUACCGAUGGCGAAGGCAGCCAUCUGGCCUAAUACUGACGCUGAGGUACGAAAGCAUGGGGAGCAAACAGGAUUAGAUACCCCUGAGUCCCUGUCUCUUAUACA
rnacentral:rRNA from 1 species